rnacentral:rRNA from 1 species
GACGAACGCUGGCGGCGUGCUUAACACAUGCAAGUCGAGCGGAGCGGCGAACGGGUGAGUAACGCGUGAGUAACUGCCCCCCUCUCUGGGAUAACAGUUGGAAACGGCUCCUAAUACCGGAUCGUGGGGGCUGACGCGCGGCCUAUCCGAUUGUUGGUGGGGUAGUGGCCUACCAAGGCGACGACGGGGCGCCGGCCUGCGAGGGGGACCGGCCACAUUGGGCUGGGAUACGGCCCAAACUGCAACGGGAGGCAGCAGUGGGGAGUAUUGCACAAUGGUGGAAACCCUGAUGCAGCAACGCCGCGUGCGGGAUGACUGCCUUCGGGUUGUAAACCGCUUUCAGCCAUGACGCGGUAGUGGCAGAAGAAGCACCGGCUAACUACGUGCCAGCAGCCGCGGUAAUUC